rnacentral:rRNA from 1 species
UACGUAGGGGGCUAGCGUUGUCCGGAAUCAUUGGGCGUAAAGCGCGUGUAGGCGGCCCGAUAAGUCCGCUGUGAAAGUCCAGGGCUCAACCCUGGGAUGCCGGUGGAUACUGUCGGGCUCGAGUCCGGAAGAGGAGUGUGGAAUUCCGUGGUGUAGCGGUGAAAUGCGCAGAUAUCAGGAGGAACACCAAUGGCGAAGGCAGCACUCUGGGACGUGACUGACGCUGAGACGCGAAAGCGUGGGGAGCAAACAGG